GACGUAGGGGGCCAGCGUUGUUCGGAAUUACUGGGUGUAAAGGGUUCGUAGGCGGUGUGGCAAGUCGGGAGUGAAAUUUCUGGGCUUAACUCAGAACCUGCUUCCGAAACUGCUGUGCUCGAGUGUGGGAGAGGCGCGUGGAAUUGCAGGUGUAGCGGUGAAAUGCGUAGAUAUCUGCAGGAACACCCGUGGCGAAAGCGGCGCGCUGGACCACUACUGACGCUGAGGAACGAAAGCUAGGGGAGCAAACAGG
rnacentral:rRNA from 1 species